ensembl:lncRNA
UUAACGCCUAGUACGCAGCAGGCACUCAGCAAACAAUGGGUGUUGUUAUUGAUUAUUGCCAUUGUCUCCUCCUUCUUAUCCAAGGUGUCUGGGCUCCGUGAGAAGUUCUAAGCCCUUCCCCAGGAUGGAGGCUUCACCUCUCCGUGGAGAUUCCCAGUCACCCCUCUUUGCCAGAGGAAGAUUGCUAGCCCUGAUCUAGUCCAACUGCUUGACAGAUGAGGAAAUUAAAGCUCAGAGUGAACUGACUUGGCCAAAUCCUGGUUCAAAAAGACAAAACACAAUUAUAGAAAGAAAGAUGCAAAUGGCCAUUUUGAAGCAUCCAAAGGGACAAAAACAAUUUAACAAUAAACAGAAGAUUAGGGAUGUAAAAGUCAUUUCUUCCUCAAAUGGCAAAGGAUAAUGUGUUAUACAAGAGUUAAAGACAAAGAAAUUAUGAAACACUUGGAGCACCCUACGUCCAUUUGUACAGAAGAACUGAUAAUUUCUUAAUUUGGAAUCAGAUUACGUUGGAUUGAUGAAGAGGAUUUGGGAAGCAGGCAGAUUACAUCAGAAAUGGCUCAAGAUUCUUCAUGCCGAUAAGACUCCAGGAAACUCACAUCCAGACCCGCUGCAGGAAAUGGAGGUGGACAUUACAGAUGCUUUGCUCUUGUUGCCUUCCAUGCUCAUGGCUGGAGUGGAUUUUCCUUGGUGCCUUCAGAAGAUUGUUCUAUGCAGCCAGGACUCAUUUGGGGUGAGCCUAACCUGUCUUCCUACCCUUGGGUCCUGGCUAAUGUUUGGUCUUCUCUGUGCAUGCCAUCCUCUGUUGGACCUAAACAUUGUCCCUAGUUGCUUGUGGUCAGGACAGAUGCUGAUUUGUAGUGAGGGACUGGGCUGCGUGAAUUGGACUGGGAGACGUAGCAUGGAGCGUGAAGUCUCUGCAUGUCCUCUCAGCUUGGGUAGGGCCCAGAACCCAUGUCCCAGUAGGAGGCUGACUCUGAGCUAAGUCAGAAACAAAGCAGCCCUCAGGGCUUGGGGCCCACCUACUGCCCUCCUCUCCAGAAGCCAGAGUCCUGCAAGGCCAGUCUGAUGGGUGCCCAGAUGACUUUUACUCAUGGUUGUGGUAGGUUGAAUCAAAGGGUGAAUAUCAGGAUUGUGUCGCAAGAAACACUGAUAUUUGGCUGCAGUGGUGUGUACAAAGUAGGUGGCUAAAAUAGGAGCCCUGAGGGGAAUGUCAGGAAUCAAGGUACAAAAGGAUAUCAGAAAACCAGACAAGAGCUCCUGGAGAAUGUUUGUGUGAGCAGGACUGUCUCAUCUCAGCAGAGACAACAUAGGCAUCUGACUUCACCUUCCUUAUGGUUUGUUGAGGAAGAUGUUAUUCUCCCCAUUGUAAAGGAGAGGAAAGUAAGAUUUGGAGAAAUUAUUUGCCAAAAUCACAAAGCUAGUGAGCAUCAGAGUCAAGACUGGGAGCCAGGUCUUCUGACGCCAAAGCUCAUGUUCCAUCCAGGUCCCAGGCUGCCUUUUAGAAAAGUCCAUCCACAUUCACCAGAGGGCUCUGAUUGCCAUAUGUGGUGUGGCAUUCUGCAGUCAUCCAGUCAAACACGCAAUCCUAGGCCUGGAUAGGUGUCACUGAUCAUCCAGUCCAGCUCUAAAUACAGUGAUCUCCUUUGCCACGGUGGUUCUCAAAUCAUGCCUUGAAGAGGGGUCUCAGGGACUUCAUUGGAGACAGAGAAGGAGGAUGGGCACAGGUCACCUGCUGCCUGCACCCAUUCUCCAAGCUUCUACAACCAUUCCUUCAACUAGAGCUGCUCCAUUUCUAUGGGUUGGGAUUGUUUGUUUGAAAAGGGUUUCAACAACCUCUGUUCUUUCAGAGACUCCAGCUUUUGGUUCAACACCUUGCAUGAGAGGGAAUUCACAAACUAGAUGUGCUCCAGGGGCCUCUAGAGUUAAGUUGAUGAGGAUGUCUGCGUGGUGCCCGUGAAACUGUCUUCUUGGUUGAAAAGCCCUGCAGUGCCAACAGAAGUGUGAUGUUCUAAGCUUAGUGCACCCACAAAAGUUAACAGCUGCCUUAGAAUUUCCUCACAUUCAUUUGUUCACUUGAGAAUAAUUAAAUUAGAACCAUUGUACAUCUGGGCCAGAAAUCUCGCUUUCACAGAAGCUGCAGUAGAUACUGUUCCGGGACAAACAGGACAAUCUCUCUGAUGUUACCCCCAAAAGACCAAGGAAGGGCACCACCAAAUCACAGCUAGUGAUUUGUCAUGCAUGAACUUAUCUAAACUUUUUAAUAAUGAUGCUAUUUAUGUUUUUGGUUUUCAUUUCCUCUUGACAUAACAAGUUCGGUAAGUUGCCACCAUCUGUUCGCUUCUUUUUCCUUGUCCUAUAUUUACCUUCUUGCACUUUUCAGGGGUACCCCUAGGCAUUGUGUGUCGGUAAGCAAGCUCAGCCUGAUCCUCCUGAAGCACCUGAAGCAGUUGAACAAAUAAUUCUUGAACUGACAGUCUUGACAAGUGACAUCAUUGCAAAUGCAUAUUGGCUCAGGUUUUCAGUCCCUUAAACGCUUAUCCUCACCAGUGUUCUGACGUCCCAGACAUGCAGAGCAGCUUUUCUAUUCCUUAGACAGCUGAGCAGCUGGAGUAUUUCUGAGCAGCUGGAGUAAGGGAUGUUGGCUAUUUCCUCUCUUACCUGAGUUCCUUCACACAUGCUUGCCUUUAUCACUCUAGUCAACCAUAUGUACAUUUAGAGAAAUGCAGACAAUCUAGUAUCUUUUGAUAUUGAGGCUAGAAAAUUUCAUUCUGAUCAUUUCUGCACAAAUUGUUAGUAAUUCCAGAACUUCUCUGAUGCUUUCUAAUAUUAUCUACUACAGAUAUGCCUCACUUCAUAGGCAUUGUGAGGGAAUAAGGUCAUAGUUCUGGAUAAAGGAGUUUAGAGAACUAAGAGUAUAAUUUUUUAAGCUCCAAAGAGUUUUAAAGUUUGUAACCAUUUGCAAUCCAAGUUUCUCCAUGUAGAUCAUACAGGCCUGAGGUUGAAAAUGUGGCUUCACAGACUAUAACAAGUGAUAUUUCUCUGUGCUGGCCCUUUGCUAG